rnacentral:rRNA from 1 species
CCAGACUCCUACGGGAGGCAGCAGUGAGGAAUAUUGGUCAAUGGGCUUACGCCUGAACCAGCCAAGUCGCGUGAGGGAAGACUGCCCUAUGGGUUGUAAACCUCUUUUGUCGGGGAGCAAAUUCCGCCACGUGUGGCGGAGUCGAGAGUACCCGAAGAAAAAGCAUCGGCUAACUCCGUGCCAGCAGCCGCGGUAAUACGGAGGAUGCGAGCGUUAUCCGGAUUUAUUGGGUUUAAAGGGUGCGUAGGCGGACUGUCAAGUCAGCGGUAAAAUUGCGGGGCUCAACCCCGUCGAGCCGUUGAAACUGGCAGACUUGAGUUGGCGAGAAGUACGCGGAAUGCGCGGUGUAGCGGUGAAAUGCAUAGAUAUCGCGCAGAACUCCGAUUGCGAAGGCAGCGUACCGGCGCCAGACUGACGCUGAGGCACGAAAGCGUGGGUAUCGAACAGGAUUAGAUACCCGAGUAC